GAUGAACGCUGGCGGCGUGCCUAAUACAUGCAAGUCGAGCGAACGGACGAGAAGCUUGCUUCUCUGAUGUUAGCGGCGGACGGGUGAGUAACACGUGGAUAACCUACCUAUAAGACUGGGAUAACUUCGGGAAACCGUAGCUAAUACCGGAUAAUAUUUUGAACCGCAUGGUUCAAAAGUGAAAGACGGUCUUGCUGUCACUUAUAGAUGGAUCCGCGCUGCAUUAGCUAGUUGGUAAGGUAACGGGUUACCAAGGCAACGAUGCAUAGCCGACCUGAGAGGGUGAUCGGACACCCUGGAACUGAGACACGGCCCAGACUCCUGCGGGAGGCAGCAGUAGGGAAUCUUCCGCAAUGGGCGAAAGCCUGACGGAGCAACGCCGCGUGAGUGAUGAAGGUCUUCGGAUCGUAAAACUCUGUUAUUAGGGAAGAACAUAUGUGUAAGUAACUGUGAACAUAUUGACGGUACCUAAUCAGAAAGCCACGGCUAACUACGUG
rnacentral:rRNA from 1 species